GUAGAAGAAGCAGCUUAAGCAUAUAUAUGUUAAAAUUAAAAAGCUGAUUUUUAAGUUUGUAGGUGGACUGAUUUUUCUCAUCAAACUGAAAAAAUGAAGUCAGUUUACUGAACCAGGAAAGGAUAAUUUGCAUAGUUCUGGAGAGCUCCCUACUUCUGCAACUUAGGAACACUCAAGGCAUUUUGGAAAAGGAGAAAGGAAUCACCCCGGGCAGCCAUUAAAAGGACACUUUUCCUGCAGUGUGUGGUUAUCCAGACUCAUGAGCUGCAGAGUGCCCAUUGCCCAGUCUCAGUUUUGAUCUUGGCUCAUAGAAGGACCUCCUUCCUUCUGAUACCUGCAGAGAAAAAAUGA
rnacentral:lncRNA from 1 species